UUUGGGGCUUUGAGUUUUUGAGUUGGCUAGCUGGGUACUUUCCUUCCUUUGGUGAAUUAGACGGGUGAGCUUUGGUUGAAGGGUCCCACCAUCAUGAAAGUGAAAGAAGAACAAAAACAAAGGUCCUCUGCUUCCUUAUCUUUCAAUUACUUUAGUAUUAUCCUAUACUAUUUAACUUGCUCUACAGGUGGAAAGGCAGUAGCAAGCUUGAUAUCCAUCUUUUUUUUUUUUGCACAUUUUAUACUAUAUAACUAAUAUAUCAGUAUAACAAUAUUACACUAUUUGAUCGUGGUGUUGAUAAGAACCCACAAAUAAUUGCCUUUACUUUUAUUUAAAUGUAUGGAGCAGAAUUAGUGCCCAUACAUUUAUUAUAUUUACUGUAUGGUGUAGGUUUAUUACCCAUACAGCAGUAUUUAUUUAAAAGGGUGGUGCGGAUUUAUCGUCCACGCCUUUACUUUUAUUUAAAUGUAUGGAGCAGAAUUAGUGCCCAUACAAGCACCUUUACUUUAUCGCAAAUUUACUUUUACUUAAAGUAUGAUGUGAAAUUAACCCUCAUACUUUAUGAAUUUACUUUACCGCACAUUUAAUUUUAUUUAAGAUAUGGUGCGGAAUUAACUUCCAUAUAGCAAGUAAUUUAUUUUAUCUCACAUUUACUUUUACUUAAAGUAUGAUGAGGAAUUAACCCUCAUACUUUAUGAAUUUACUUUACCGCACAUUUACUUUUACUUAAAGUAUGAUGAGGAAUUAACCCUCAUACUUUAUGAAUUUACUUUACCGCACAUUUACAUUUAUUUAAAGUAUGGUGCGGGUUUAUCGUCCAUACCAGUAAUUUAUUUAUCAGCAAUUUAUUUUAUGGAUUAAUUGUGCUGUAUGAUGAGUUUUUACAGUAUACAGAUUAGGACCAGAAGUUCCUUGAUCCUCAUCAUACAAUUACAUCAGGACUUGAAGAUCCUUGAUGAUGAUGUUAAUAUAAGAGCUGGCAGUCUCUCCGGUACUAUAUUUGUAAACAUAUGAUUGGACUUGAGGGUCCUUGAUCCCUGACAUGUAAAUAAGGACCUGGGGUUCCUUAAUGAUGUAACAGUACUGUAUUGUUUCAUAAUGCCGUACACAUGGAUGAUAACUGUACUGGCAAAUGUACUGUCCACAUGAAUAGAUACGUAUUCAUGACUUGAUGAAUAGUACCGGAUAUAUGAAUAGUGACGUAUACAUAAAUAUUAACCAUUUUGGGUAAACCAUCACUAUAUUCAAAAAGGGAACCUGCAGUCCCUUAAACUCAUGAAUGAGCAAUUAAAUGAGAUGCCAGAAGUUCCUCAAGAUAUGGACAAUUAUGUAAGGACUUGAAGUCCAGAAACAUGUACAGAAAAUUGUAAAAAUGUCCAUACCAUGAGAAUAUGUGAUUUUGGCUUGAGGUUCAAAAUCUAACAGUGUUGAGAACCUGAAGUUCCAACAAUUAAAUGGACAACUCUUGAGGUAUUAU
rnacentral:lncRNA from 1 species